AUUGAACGCUGGCGGCAGGCCUAACACAUGCAAGUCGAGCGAGAGGAGGACGGGUGAGUAAUGUAUGGGGAUCUGCCCGAUAGAGGGGGAUAACUACGGAAAAGGUGGAUAAUACCGCAUACGAUCGGAUGAACCCAUAUGGGAUUAGGUAGUAGGUGGGGUAACGGCUUACCAAGGCGAAGAUCCGUAGCUGGUUGGAGAGGACGACCAGCCACACUGGGACUGAGACACGGCCCAGACUCCUACGGGAGGCAGCAGUGGGGAAUUUUGGACAAUGGGGGAAACCCUGAUCCAGCCAUCCCGCGUGUGCGAUGAAGGCCUUCGGGUUGUAAAGCACUUUUGGCAGGAAAGCGGUACCUGCAGAAUAAGCACCGGCUAACUCCGUGCCAGCCGCCGCGGUAAUUC
rnacentral:rRNA from 1 species